rnacentral:lncRNA from 1 species
CUGUGCACCACCCACCCCAAUGCCAGCUGCAGCUUUAUCUCAGACUCUGGCUCCCACCUGGCAUCUGGCAUUCCAGACUAAGUGGACUUACACAUGCACUUCUCACAGUCCUUGCUGUCCAUAAAGCAGUUUCUGGACUGCGUAUAUGUGAGUGCUAGUGAAAAGGCAUCAUUUGUGCUUCUCCAGUAAUACUUGCCUAUUAAAUUAGCAAAUAUAAUAAAAAGAAUAAGUCUUCUUUCACAUAAUCUUCUCAGGACAUCAUCAAUUCAAUUGGUACAAAGCUUGUAUAUACAGAGUCUUCAGGAGCAUCUUGAUUUUUAAGGACAAAAGCACUAUGAGAUGCUAAAACGAUUCAUUACUUUACAGAUAACUGUGAUAUGGAUCAGGAACUGACACAAAGACAUCCUUUCUAAAAUGGCCCAGAAUGUGAUUGAAUAAGAAAGCUUUGGAGUAGAUUCUGUCACCAGAGUGCUCAGUACUUUUUGAAUCAUUUUUACAUGAGUUGCCUUUCAACUAGAAUGUUACUCUAUCUGCACUCUUUAUUGUUUGGUGAAAAAGAUGAAGUCUAUCUCCUGAAAAACAUAUUGCAAUCAUAAAUGCAAACUGCAGUGUAGACAAAAUUAUUAAAUAUGGCUAUGAAAAUGCCGCACAUCUGUGUGAUUUGUAUUAUAUUGAUUCUUCCAAAUUCAAACAUGAAGAAGUAAAUGUAAAGCCAUGAGGACAACCAAUAUAAGUGGGUUAUAUACCAUCGUAUCUCUUUCACCUGGUGUUUGAAUUUUUCAAGAAUGCAAUGAGAACAACUAUGGGCCAUCAUGUCAAUGAAGUGUUUAUCUCCCUAUUCAAGUUUCUGUCACACUGGGUAAUAAAGAUUUGACUGUAAAAUGAGUGACUGAGGAGGUAGUGUUCCUUUGAGGAAAACUGACAGACUCUUCAUCUACAUGUGUUCAACUGCACCACAUCCUGGUGCUGAGAUUUUCUGAGCUCUGGCUAGGUUUGGUUACAGAUUGCCCAUAUCAUGUCUUUAUGCACAGUACUACCAAGGAGAUCUAAUGCUAUAUUCCUGGAGGGUUACAAAACAGACACCGCUAUCUACAUUAAAGCAUUGCCAACAGAAUCAAUAGAAAGACUCCAAGUGUAUAAUAAAACUGCCUGGAAAUAUUACUACACUUUGAGGCUGAUGACUGAUGUGUUCCCAGCAGGGACCCAAAAUACAUGACAAUUUUAUACAGUUCUUA